UGUUGUCUCCUCGAUGUCCCCGUGUGUGCCGUCUGCCCCGGACUCAGAGUGAGUCUAUGAUCCAUGCUGUUGUGAGUGACCUUCCUCGUGCAUCCUUCCCCAACGCUACUGGUGUUACCAGUCAGACGCCACUCCUCGUGUGCUCGCCUUUCCCCCGUCAUCAGUCCGUCUCCAGUGGAUUUCCCUUCGGGACGCUAAAGGAUUUGUCGGUCCGAGCCCAAACCCAUCUGGAUAAAGGAAAUAACUGGACCAAGUCGAACUCCGCUCUUUCCGCUGCAAACAAUCCUGUCCGCGCUCCAACAAAGCUUUAUUAUCCAGCGCUCUGCUCACAAGUACUCACCUUCAAACCAAUAAGACGACCCGGUCAUCCACUCCAGUAUUCUUCCCCUAUCCUUUUCCUCUGGAUUCAAUAAACUUAUCAUUGUUCAUUUA